rnacentral:rRNA from 1 species
CCUACGGGAGGCAGCAGUGGGGAAUAUUGCACAAUGGGGGAAACCCUGAUGCAGCGACGCCGCGUGAGUGAAGAAGUACUUCGUUAUGUAAAGCUCUAUCAGCAGGGAAGAAAAUGACGGUACCUGAGUAAUAAGCCCCUGCUAACUACGUGCCAGCAGCCGCGGUCAUACGUAGGGGGCAAGCGUUAUCCGGAUUUAAUGGGUGGAAAGGGAGCGUACAUGGCAGUGGAAGUCUGGAGUGAAGGGCGGGGGCUCAACCCCCGGACUGCUUUGGAAACUGUACAUCUGGAGUGCAGUAGAGGUAAGUGGAAUUCCAAGUGUAGCGGUGAAAUGCGUAGAUAUUAGGAGGAACACCAGUGGCGAAGGCGGCUUACUGGACUGUAACUGACGUUGAGGCUCGAAAGCGUGGGGAGCAAACAGGAUUAGAUACCCCGGUAGUC